UUCUGUUACUGCUCUUUCACCUCAGUGAAUAACAUCCAGGAUUCAUUAAAGACCUGUGUUUCUGCCUAACAGGGGGGGAUGCUCUGCACAGGGGCCAAGGGAAGGUGGGGGAAGAGACCUGCUCUGAGCACAUUUUCCGCAGCCUGGCUGCACACAUGCUCACCCAGAGGGCAUCCCGAGGGAACAGCCUGGAGGCCCUUCUUGCCCCUCCUGUUACGUGGAACCUAGUUCCUGGCUCUUACUGUCCCAAUCAGCUUCUAGAAGUUCUUGCACGGCGACAUAGCUUCAGAAAGAAGCCGAAGAAUGGCAGAAAGCCUGUUGCCAGUCAGGAGGAGGGAAGGCCCGUGUCCCCAGGCAGAGGACAGAGCUGAGUGAACUCUCAUGCCCUGGCCGAACGCUCCCAGCAAUAAGCCACGGAGUUAAAAGCGUACAGUGACGGCUGACCACCGCGUUUUAAAACCAGUCACGGCAGCCGCUGCCGCAUUUCGGACAGCCACAGCCAGAAGGACGCCUGCAUCAAAGCUCUCGCGCAGCGGAGCCGAAGGGGAUGCCGACUGCCCAGCGCCGCCCGCCUCCCCGCACCGCUGGGGGACGGAGCUCCCCGUGAGCUCUGCAGAAGCGGCGCUCAGCGCCCGGCCCGGCCCGGCCCGGCGCCCACCUGCCCGCGGCUGCGGCUCCCUCAGCGAGCGGCCCCGGGCCACCCGCGCCACGCCGCCGCCCCCGCUCACCUCCACCGGCCCGGCCCGGCCCCGCCACCCGCCCGCCGGCCCCGGCCGUUAACGGAAACCCCGCGGGCCCCGGCUCGGGGCCGCACCUCCCCGGGCACGGCCGCUCCCGGCCGCGUUUCCCAGCCCCCCGGGGUGGCUGCGGGUAGGGGCGAGCAGAGCGGCCGGCCCCCGGCACGGGCCGGGAGAGCCCGGUGCGGAGCCGGGAGCCCGCAGCCCGGGGCCGGCCGUGCCCAGCUCCAGCGGCAGGGAAGCAGCGGGGGCCCGGGCUGUCGGCGGGGUGGUGGGCGGCGUGGCGCGGCGACGGAACCCGAAGGAAAGGAGAAAGGCACGCAGGAGGAGUCGGCAGGGGUUAACCGCCGGCAGUGCCUUACACAAAGCAGUACGCUUGUGCCUACAGAAGAAGUUGGGAUUGCAGGACAGUUCUGUGGCUGAGCUGAUUUAUUUGCCCGUUACAGUAAUUCCUGAAGAGGAAUCUAAACUACAGGAAUGAAAAGAGGUCUAAAAAAGAGAAGGCAUUUUUAUUACUAUAUAGGUACAUAGUAAUUUAAGUUUUUAUUUUCCACUUAAAGACAUCUGGAAAUUGAUGCUGUUUGUAAAAGUGCCUGUUUCUUAGGUUUUGCACUGGCCAAGCCAACUAACUUUUUAGCACACUGCUGCCUGGCCAUACCCACAGCUGUGAGCUGGGGAUUUAGUUGCAUUGCAUGGGAGAAAUAGGUUCCUAAAACAGUGGAUAUACAAAUUACGUCGUGUUAACCAAAGCAUGACCUAAUCUGGAUAGUUGGAAAUGCAGAACCAAGGGUCAUGCCUUAAUAUUCACCUGUUAAAUAAAACGAGUCUCACCUCUGUUGGGGGUUGCA
ensembl:lncRNA